CUUAUGCCGGCGACCGGCGGACGGGUGCGUAACGCGUAUGUAACCUACCUUUGACAGGGGGAUAACAUCGAGAAAUUGGUACUAAUACCCCAUAACAUCACCGGAGGCAUCUUCGGUGGUUGAAAACUCAGGUGGUCAGAAAUGGACAUGCGUUGUAUUAGCUAGUUGGUGAGGUAACGGCUCACCAAGGCGACGAUACAUAGGGGGACUGAGAGGUCAACCCCCCACAUUGGUACUGAGACACGGACCAAACUCCUACGGGAGGCAGCAG
rnacentral:rRNA from 1 species